rnacentral:lncRNA from 1 species
CCCGGCUGAGGAUCCUGGGUCACUUCUCUGUCUUCUUGGUCGGCAGUGUGAGAGCAUUGUGGAGGAGUACGAGGAUGAACUUAUUGAAUUCUUUUCAAGAGAGGCUGACAACGUUAAAGACAAACUUUGCAGUAAGCGGACAGGUAAGCACCUCCCACUUCCAGUCCUGUGCUCAUAGCCUCAUGUAACUUGACUUGCAGCCCUGGCCCUCACCACACGGGACCGUGUGCUCACACGCUGAGACCUCUGAUAGAUGUCCCAUGGGGCUGGCUUCCCUUGGCUUAGAGUUUGGAGUGUGAUAUCUCUCCAGUCUCCACCUAAUAGUUUUCGGAAUAUGUGUUUCUGUUACCCUGGUUACGGGAGAGGGUGUGGUGGGCGUGGUUUGCCCUGGGUUGGCUUGGGGCAUUUUCUGAGAAGGGAUGUGUGUGUGAGUGAGGAUGAUUGUUUCAUUCACGUUGGUACGUACCGUUUGCAGAUCUAUGUGACCAUGCCCUGCACAGAUCUCAUGAUGAGCUAUGACUCACAGGAGCAAGCAGCCCACACCAGCUUGGUGAAACACCCCCGGGAGGGGAAGGAAGAUGGCGGCAUUGCCUUUUAUAUUAUGUUUUUAUGGAAAUGAACUGAAAAAAAACUCUUGAAACCAAAAGUACAAACCCUGUUGUCUUUUAUGCCCAAACAUAGCCUUUGUUGAAGGCUUGGGAGGGGGGUACCUAUGAAAGACCCCCAGAGCAGGGAGGCCCUCACUCAAGUCUC